UACUAAAUGGAUGUCAUUUCUGGGCACUUACAUAAUUGGCUAAGGCUGGUCUCAGCAGAAAACAGCCGCUGACCCUGUCCACACACACACGUGGACCCACGGGACCACUUGGAAAUCGGACGCUCCUGGCCUGACACUGCAUUGUCUCCAGCAGAACGAGAAACACAGCAGAGAGGGAAUGGUCAACCCCAGAGCACCGGCCACUUUGGGAAAAUGGACAUCUCCUCUCCUCUGGCUGAAGGAAAGGCAAGCAGACUAGCUGCAGUGAGGCUUCCCGGAGGUGCCAGGCAGUAAGAAGACACGGCGUUGCCCCAGGCUGUGUAGCUCACAACAAUUUUCCAUCCAAAUGCAUGAGCCCGGGUUCCCGAUGAAGACUUGGCUUCUCCUGAGCCCGGGGGUCCUGGCUGCUCUGGUGCCAACCCCUGGGUGUCUUCGAGCUGCAGAGGGCUUGCCACGUGCAUCCUCCUCCCUCUGCCUGAGCCACGAAGACCAGGCUGGACCAUGUUCCACAAAGACUGUGUCCCCAUCAGGGGCCUCCUCCCAACAACACUUAACCAAGCUUUGUAUUCAACAAGGAACACAUUCCCCCUCCACCAAACCUCAUUGAAAACACAGAGGUGCAUGGAUAACCAUGGCCGAAUCAUAACUGGUAUGCGUGCUCAUGGUUUUCUUUGAAAAUCUAACUGUCUUUUAAAAAUCUUUCCCACAUGAA